rnacentral:lncRNA from 1 species
AGAAAUAUAUACAUCUAAUAUCUAUAAAUGCAUUUUAAAAAUAAUCCAGAUAGGCUAAAAACAAAUGCUAAAACUCAUUAAAUAGCAAAAGAUCAGUUAUCAACAAAAAAACUCUCAUAUUUUGUUUUCUUUUUCUUUUAACUUAAGUAAUUUCAUAUCAUAUUUAUACACAUAUUUUUAUCCACAACACUCAAUUUUUGUAUCCGCAUUUGAUGUGUUAGAGUUUUAAUGUUAGAAUUUUUUAUUUUGUAUAACAAAUUUUAUAUCCACGCUCAGUUAACUAUAGUCCUUGUGUCCACAUUAAUUAUAUAUACAUAUAACAAAUUCUACACACAUGUUUGUUAUUAUAUAAAAGAAAUUCUACAUCCACGCUCAUUUGUUGGAGUACCGGAAUCCAUAU